AUCCUGUAUAUAGUAUGUUAGUGAUUAUUAUUUAGUUUUUUAACUCUUUAAUUCUAGAAUUCCUUAAAUAAACAAAUGAAUAACUGAUCGAUUAUAGAAUUGAAAUUAGGGUUAAUUAGGGUUAAUUAGGGUUAAUUGAAAAUUAGGUUGAGUCAAUUUUAGUGUUAUCAUCAAUUAGGGUGGGAUCAAAUGGUUAAGGUUAGGGUAAGGUUAAAAUUAGGAUUAAUCCAAUUAGGGUUGAGUGUGAUUAGGAUUAAUUAAAAAUUAGGGUUAACAAAUGGUUAAGGUUAGGGUUAAAUCAAAGUUAGGGUUAGUAAAUCUAGGGUUGGGAUUAAUUUAACAUUGGGUGAACUAGGGUUACUUACAAUUAGGGUUAACCAAUCAAGGGUUAACUAAAAUUAGGGUUGGAUGAAAUGGUUAAGAUUAGGGUUAGAUUAGAAGUUGGAUCAAUUAAAUUAUGAUUAUAUUAAUUUAACAUUGGGUAAACUAGGGUUACUUACAAUUAGGGUUAACCAAUUAAGGGUUGACUGAAAUUAGGGUUGGAUGAAAUGGUUAAGAUUAGGGUUAGAUUAGAAAUUGGAGUAAUUGAAUUAUGGUUAAGUGGAAUUAGGGUAAAAUUAAAAUUAGGGUGGACAAAUGGUUAAGGUUAGGGUAAGGUUAAAAUUAGGAUUAAUCCAAUUAGGGUUGAGUGUGAUUAGGAUUAAUUAAAAAUUAGGGUUAACAAAUGGUUAAGGUUAGGGUUAAAUCAAAGUUAGGGUUAGUAAAUCUAGGGUUGGGAUUAGGUUAACAUUGGGUAAACUAGGGUUACUUACAGUUUGGUGAAAUGGUUAAGGUUAGGGUUAAAUUAGAAUUUGGAUUAGUUGAAUUAGGGUUAAAUGGAAUCAGGGUAUAAUUAAAAUUUAAAUUAGGGUGAAGAUUAGAGUUAAAUUAGAAUUAGGAUUAUUUAGGGUUAACUGAAUUUAGGUUGGGAUCAAAUGGUUAGGUUAAAUAAGCAGUAAUAUGCAUGUGUAUCUAAAUAAAUUUUCUAAUCCUAAAAAAUGUUUUUGUCAUUUUCUUCUGUCAAUUGUCCCUCAUAAUUUCAACCCAUCUUUUUAUUUAACCCAUAUGGUUGUUUUGUCGCUAAUUUAUGUAUCCAUUGUCUUUCUCUACAUUUUCUUUCUAAAUCUGUCCAAUUAAAGUUUUUUUGUAAUCCAGCCAUUCGUAAUGACUCUAAUCCAUGUAUUAGGAAAUGCUGUACCAGGGGUGUGUCCAUUUCUUUUUUAUUUUUAAUAUUAUACCUAUGCUGUGUAAUUCGUGCUGAUAACGAAUUCUUUGUUUCCCCUACAUAUUUAAUCCCACAUUUAUUACAAAUUAUUAAAUAAAUACAAUUUGUGGACCUCGCAGUAAAUGUUUGUUCAAUUUUUAUGAUAGUUUUCUCCACUGUGUUUUUGAUAAAUUUUAGUUUCAACAAUUGUUUAUCUAGUAAUAAUUGUUUUUGUGUUAAUAGUGAUGGUAAUUUGGCUCUGACUAACAAAUCUUUCAAAUUCUUAUUCCUCCUAUAUGCCGAGAUUAUGUUAAAUUUUGGGAUUCCUGUAGUCGUUUCCGAAAUUUCCUGCAAAUUUCGUUUUAUUUUAUUGUGUAGUACCUUGCCUACUGUACAGAAAUUUGUAAUGAGAGGAAUAACAUUUUCUUUCGUUUGUUUUUUGUUGAGAAAUGUUUUCAGAUGAUUUCUUAAAUAUGAUCUCGAAUACCCUCUUUUUCGUAGGGUAUCAAAUAAGAUCUUCACCGCUUCCCUAAAAUCCUCCUCCCUCGUGCAGAUUCGGUGAAAGCGCAGAAUCUGGGAUUUUACAAUUCCUUUAAAAGUAUGAUUUGGAUGGAAGCUAAAUUUAUGCAAUAAUGCGUGAGUAUCUGUUGCCUUGAAAUACACUUUAAUAUCCAAUCGAUGAUUUUCCUGAAAAUUGGGUCCCUUAAAUAUUGUAGUAUCUAAAAAGUCAAUAGAAUUUUGCUUAAUUUCUGCUUUGAGUUUAAUUGAUGGAUCCUGUGAAUUUAGUGUUUCCUUGAAAUUUUCAAAUUCUUGUUUAGUCCCUAUCCAUAAUCCCCAAAUGUCGUCCAAAUACCGUAGAUAACUAGCCGGUUUCUUUUCACAUUUGGCCAGUGCUUUUUCUUCCCAGUUGGCCAUAAAAAUAUUGGCAUAUGCUGGAGCAAAUUUUUUACCCAUUGCUGUUCCCUUAAUUUGCAAAUAAUAUUUUUCAUUGAAUACAAAGUCAUUUCUAGUUAAAUUAAUUUCUAAUAAUUGUAAUAAUUCAUCAUCUGGUCUGUUUGGAUCUGGGUAUUUCUGGAAAAUUUGUUUUACACAUUCAAUUCCUGCCGGAAUAGGAAUAUUUGUAUAUAAACUGUUAACAUCCAUCGAAAAAAACCAAAAGUCCGAGGUUAUUGUAACGUCUUUUACCAUCUCUAUAAAAUGGUAUGUGUCUCUCACAUAGGAUGGAUGUUUGAUCGAAAGUGGAUUUAGAUAAUGAUCCAAAUAUUCUGCGGUGAAAUAUGUAUCACUCCCACAGUCUGAUACUAUGGGUCUCCCUGGGGGAAUUUCAAAUGGAAUUGUCCAUUUCUCCGGACUUUUAUGAAUUUUUGGGAGAAUAUAAAAUCUCCUCUCUCUUGGUUCUGAGGUUCCAAGUAGGUACUGUUUUUGUUUUCCAUUGAUAAAUUUUUUCUUUUUUAGAUUGUUUAUAAUUUCCUUUAUUUUUGGUAGUGUUUCUCUAUAAAUGGGUUUUUCCAAUUUUUUGUAAUAUUCUGUGUCAUUCAAUUGUCUUUCUACUUCCAUUAUAUAUUGUUCUCUACUUAGAAUCACUACUGACGAGCCUUUAUCAGCCGGUUUAAUGACUAUAUGUUUUGUAUGCAUUAAUUCUCGUAAGGCUUUUACUUCUUCUACAGACAUAUUGUAUUUUUCAGUAGUCGGUAAGUAGUGUUUUUUUAUUGUCUGCCAAUCUUUUUGUAUUAAUUGUCCCACUUCUGGUGGUAAUUUAUCCAUAGGUGGUUUCCAAUCAGAAGAGCCUGUAAAUGGUGGUCUCUCCUUACCCAUCGAAUCCUUAAAGACUUAGAGGCUGACCAAGUUUAAAGUCUUCCCCCAGUGGUCAAGCAUAGCGGUCGCCGUUUCUUUUGUCCAGUGGAUUCCAUCCUCCUCCACCUGGAAUUGGUCCUCAGGUAAGAGAGGAAGGUAACCCACAUUCUUCUGAAUAUGGUCAUUCAAUGUUCGCAGAUUGUCCUGUUCCUCUGUCGGAAGAUUUAGCGAGUAAUUAAUCAGAGGAACCCAAAUUUCUGCGUACGGGAACCUCUUUUUCGUUGUUCUAAUCACCGCUUGUACAUUUUUAACUGUCGUUUCUUUUGAUUUAUUCAGUCUGCUGUUUAUGCCGAAUGACAAUAUCACUUUUUCUAUCACCAGAUCUUCUGGUGGUACCGUUUUCUCCAUCAGGUAAUGUCCAUGCCGGAAAUGACUUCCCGGGUAACUUUCAAUUUGUACGUUUCCGUAUGGAUGAUCCGGUAUUCGACUCAAAUUAGAGUCCCCCAUAAUUAGCCACUUCUUCGAUACUGACAAAUUCCAUUCCACUAACUUCCUCUGCGUGUUGGGAUGUCUAUUAACCCUAUAUAGUUGGGAUUGUGGUGGUAUGAUGCGAGUGGAGGACUCCGGGAGAACCUCCUCCUCUUCUACCUCUUCAUCUGCCCGCCAUUGGUUCAAUACCUGGGUAUUGUUUCGUCAACAGGUUCCAUUUGAGGUCUCACAAUGAGAUCCUCUUCCACGCCACCUUGGAGCCAGGAUUCUACCCUAGCCUUUCGUGAGGUCCUCGGCGUCUCUAUAAAUUUUUCCAUUGGAGAUCGAUGCACUAAAGCUCCAUCUGUGAUCUCCGGUAGCCUCAGUGUCAUGAUAUCGUCAUCGUCUGAUGUUCCCAUGAGUGUCAUUUCAGGUCUCUCCAAUAUGCUAACCUCCUGAGGAGAUUCAGUUCCGAUCGGUGUCGUGUUUUGAAUCGGCCCAGUGGGGACCAUGGGCGUCGGCUGUGAUUCUGGCACAUUCUGGAUCACUGGUGCAAUAUUCUGGAUCACCGGUGCAAUAUUUUGUAUAGCCUGCUCUACGGGUGGGCUCCGGGGAUGAAUUUUUUCUUUAAUCAACUUCUCCGUUUGAUCAAUCACCUGUUGUUUCACAUGUGGUAAUUUAUUCUUGGCCCAUCUGAUUGCCACCGUGUAGGCCUUUUUCCAGUCCGGGGUAAUAAAAUCCACAAUUUCAUUGAGCCAUUCCUCCAGGCAAGCCUGGUAGUGUUGAAAUAGUAUCAAACAUGUGGUAUAGCCCCAAUUUUUUGCGUUUCCCAUGAUGAGGUCCAUUGUUUGGCCUUUGGGGAAUGCCGGGUUAAUCAUCCCCAUUAAUACCUCGACCAUUCUUUCGAUCAUCUUGGGUUGUGGUUUCCCCCCUGUUGGGUCCACAUUCUGUAAGUGGUGUACCACUUUCAGAAUAUUAUACAAUUUUUGGACGAGCCUUUUAAACCUGGGGUCAGCCGGUUGUGGCCCUCUUUCAAAUCCCCCAUUCCUUUGGGGAGGUCUCCUUGGGUCUGGUCCCAUCCAACCACGGCUCACUGCGGCCGCAUAUGAAUAAGGACGGGAAUCCGGUUUACGGAAAGACCAUGGGGGAGGCACUGGCGGGUUAGGAAAUUGAGGCUGAACCCUUCCACCCCGAUGGUCAAAAGCCACCGGCCGACCGCCGGAGCGAAAGGGAGGUGCACUGGCCUUCCACCCCUGGAAUCUCCCUCCACCUUGAUUCCCAACUCCCGUCUGAUAUCCAUUCUGGCCUCGGCGACCAUACCGGGCCACUGUCCAUCCCUCAUCCAUCAUUUUGUUGUAGAUUUACGUAAUUUUUAUUUUUAUGAACUCUUUUUUUGUUUUUUUAUAUUUUUUAUUUUUGUAAUUUUUUUGUUGUUAUAGUAUAUAUUUUUUUGUAAUGUUUUUGUAUAUUUUGUUGUAUUUGUUCAGUUUUUAUUGUUUUUGUAUCCGUUUCUUAGUUUUCUGUCCUUGUCAUAAAGUUACUGAUUUUCCUGUCGCCUUUGCUAUAUAAUUAAUCAAUGUUCUAUUGUCUAGUCUAUAAAUUGUAUGUUCUACAAUGAACUAUCAGGUAUAGUAUUGAUAAUGUAUUGUAAAGAUGCCAAAAAAAUAUUUUUUUCCAAAAAAAAUUUUUUUAAUAAAGAAAUAAAAAAUAAUAAAGAAACUAUCAAACAAAAGUUGUUUUCAUUCAAUUGUACUUGUAUUUAUCCAAUUAUAUGUUUGUGUGUGCCAACAACAACGUUUCGGCUUAUGUCAAGCCUUCUUCAGGUUUUAGCACACAAUUUCUAUGAUCCUACUGUUGUAGCAAGAGCUGUUACUCGUUCAAAAACAAACAUGAAAUGACCGGAUUUGGCUGGUUCCCUAUUUAUAGCCUCUGUCUCAGUGACUCCUCCUUCGUCUUUACCAGCGUAUUUAUUCCAAUGCCCUUCAUUCACCAGUCUUAUUCUUAUGUGCAAUUAGUGUAAAUAGUGUAUAUAUAUGUUUUUAAUUAAUUAAUUAAUUAAUUUAAUCCUGUAUAUAGUAUGUUAGUGAUUAUUAUUUAGUUUUUUAACUCUUUAAUUCUAGAAUUCCUUAAAUAAACAAAUGAAUAACUGAUCGAUUAUAGAAUUGAAAUUAGGGUUAAUUAGGGUUAAUUAGGGUUAAUUGAAAAUUAGGUUGAGUCAAUUUUAGUGUUAUCAUCAAUUAGGGUGGGAUCAAAUGGUUAAGGUUAGGGUAAGGUUAAAAUUAGGAUUAAUCCAAUUAGGGUUGAGUGUGAUUAGGAUUAAUUAAAAAUUAGGGUUAACAAAUGGUUAAGGUUAGGGUUAAAUCAAAGUUAGGGUUAGUAAAUCUAGGGUUGGGAUUAAUUUAACAUUGGGUGAACUAGGGUUACUUACAAUUAGGGUUAACCAAUCAAGGGUUAACUAAAAUUAGGGUUGGAUGAAAUGGUUAAGAUUAGGGUUAGAUUAGAAGUUGGAUCAAUUAAAUUAUGAUUAUAUUAAUUUAACAUUGGGUAAACUAGGGUUACUUACAAUUAGGGUUAACCAAUUAAGGGUUGACUGAAAUUAGGGUUGGAUGAAAUGGUUAAGAUUAGGGUUAGAUUAGAAAUUGGAGUAAUUGAAUUAUGGUUAAGUGGAAUUAGGGUAAAAUUAAAAUUAGGGUGGACAAAUGGUUAAGGUUAGGGUAAGGUUAAAAUUAGGAUUAAUCCAAUUAGGGUUGAGUGUGAUUAGGAUUAAUUAAAAAUUAGGGUUAACAAAUGGUUAAGGUUAGGGUUAAAUCAAAGUUAGGGUUAGUAAAUCUAGGGUUGGGAUUAGGUUAACAUUGGGUAAACUAGGGUUACUUACAGUUUGGUGAAAUGGUUAAGGUUAGGGUUAAAUUAGAAUUUGGAUUAGUUGAAUUAGGGUUAAAUGGAAUCAGGGUAUAAUUAAAAUUUAAAUUAGGGUGAAGAUUAGAGUUAAAUUAGAAUUAGGAUUAUUUAGGGUUAACUGAAUUUAGGUUGGGAUCAAAUGGUUAGGUUAAAUAAGCAGUAAUAUGCAUGUGUAUCUAAAUAAAUUUUCUAAUCCUAAAAAAUGUUUUUGUCAUUUUCUUCUGUCAAUUGUCCCUCAUAAUUUCAACCCAUCUUUUUAUUUAACCCAUAUGGUUGUUUUGUCGCUAAUUUAUGUAUCCAUUGUCUUUCUCUACAUUUUCUUUCUAAAUCUGUCCAAUUAAAGUUUUUUUGUAAUCCAGCCAUUCGUAAUGACUCUAAUCCAUGUAUUAGGAAAUGCUGUACCAGGGGUGUGUCCAUUUCUUUUUUAUUUUUAAUAUUAUACCUAUGCUGUGUAAUUCGUGCUGAUAACGAAUUCUUUGUUUCCCCUACAUAUUUAAUCCCACAUUUAUUACAAAUUAUUAAAUAAAUACAAUUUGUGGACCUCGCAGUAAAUGUUUGUUCAAUUUUUAUGAUAGUUUUCUCCACUGUGUUUUUGAUAAAUUUUAGUUUCAACAAUUGUUUAUCUAGUAAUAAUUGUUUUUGUGUUAAUAGUGAUGGUAAUUUGGCUCUGACUAACAAAUCUUUCAAAUUCUUAUUCCUCCUAUAUGCCGAGAUUAUGUUAAAUUUUGGGAUUCCUGUAGUCGUUUCCGAAAUUUCCUGCAAAUUUCGUUUUAUUUUAUUGUGUAGUACCUUGCCUACUGUACAGAAAUUUGUAAUGAGAGGAAUAACAUUUUCUUUCGUUUGUUUUUUGUUGAGAAAUGUUUUCAGAUGAUUUCUUAAAUAUGAUCUCGAAUACCCUCUUUUUCGUAGGGUAUCAAAUAAGAUCUUCACCGCUUCCCUAAAAUCCUCCUCCCUCGUGCAGAUUCGGUGAAAGCGCAGAAUCUGGGAUUUUACAAUUCCUUUAAAAGUAUGAUUUGGAUGGAAGCUAAAUUUAUGCAAUAAUGCGUGAGUAUCUGUUGCCUUGAAAUACACUUUAAUAUCCAAUCGAUGAUUUUCCUGAAAAUUGGGUCCCUUAAAUAUUGUAGUAUCUAAAAAGUCAAUAGAAUUUUGCUUAAUUUCUGCUUUGAGUUUAAUUGAUGGAUCCUGUGAAUUUAGUGUUUCCUUGAAAUUUUCAAAUUCUUGUUUAGUCCCUAUCCAUAAUCCCCAAAUGUCGUCCAAAUACCGUAGAUAACUAGCCGGUUUCUUUUCACAUUUGGCCAGUGCUUUUUCUUCCCAGUUGGCCAUAAAAAUAUUGGCAUAUGCUGGAGCAAAUUUUUUACCCAUUGCUGUUCCCUUAAUUUGCAAAUAAUAUUUUUCAUUGAAUACAAAGUCAUUUCUAGUUAAAUUAAUUUCUAAUAAUUGUAAUAAUUCAUCAUCUGGUCUGUUUGGAUCUGGGUAUUUCUGGAAAAUUUGUUUUACACAUUCAAUUCCUGCCGGAAUAGGAAUAUUUGUAUAUAAACUGUUAACAUCCAUCGAAAAAAACCAAAAGUCCGAGGUUAUUGUAACGUCUUUUACCAUCUCUAUAAAAUGGUAUGUGUCUCUCACAUAGGAUGGAUGUUUGAUCGAAAGUGGAUUUAGAUAAUGAUCCAAAUAUUCUGCGGUGAAAUAUGUAUCACUCCCACAGUCUGAUACUAUGGGUCUCCCUGGGGGAAUUUCAAAUGGAAUUGUCCAUUUCUCCGGACUUUUAUGAAUUUUUGGGAGAAUAUAAAAUCUCCUCUCUCUUGGUUCUGAGGUUCCAAGUAGGUACUGUUUUUGUUUUCCAUUGAUAAAUUUUUUCUUUUUUAGAUUGUUUAUAAUUUCCUUUAUUUUUGGUAGUGUUUCUCUAUAAAUGGGUUUUUCCAAUUUUUUGUAAUAUUCUGUGUCAUUCAAUUGUCUUUCUACUUCCAUUAUAUAUUGUUCUCUACUUAGAAUCACUACUGACGAGCCUUUAUCAGCCGGUUUAAUGACUAUAUGUUUUGUAUGCAUUAAUUCUCGUAAGGCUUUUACUUCUUCUACAGACAUAUUGUAUUUUUCAGUAGUCGGUAAGUAGUGUUUUUUUAUUGUCUGCCAAUCUUUUUGUAUUAAUUGUCCCACUUCUGGUGGUAAUUUAUCCAUAGGUGGUUUCCAAUCAGAAGAGCCUGUAAAUGGUGGUCUCUCCUUACCCAUCGAAUCCUUAAAGACUUAGAGGCUGACCAAGUUUAAAGUCUUCCCCCAGUGGUCAAGCAUAGCGGUCGCCGUUUCUUUUGUCCAGUGGAUUCCAUCCUCCUCCACCUGGAAUUGGUCCUCAGGUAAGAGAGGAAGGUAACCCACAUUCUUCUGAAUAUGGUCAUUCAAUGUUCGCAGAUUGUCCUGUUCCUCUGUCGGAAGAUUUAGCGAGUAAUUAAUCAGAGGAACCCAAAUUUCUGCGUACGGGAACCUCUUUUUCGUUGUUCUAAUCACCGCUUGUACAUUUUUAACUGUCGUUUCUUUUGAUUUAUUCAGUCUGCUGUUUAUGCCGAAUGACAAUAUCACUUUUUCUAUCACCAGAUCUUCUGGUGGUACCGUUUUCUCCAUCAGGUAAUGUCCAUGCCGGAAAUGACUUCCCGGGUAACUUUCAAUUUGUACGUUUCCGUAUGGAUGAUCCGGUAUUCGACUCAAAUUAGAGUCCCCCAUAAUUAGCCACUUCUUCGAUACUGACAAAUUCCAUUCCACUAACUUCCUCUGCGUGUUGGGAUGUCUAUUAACCCUAUAUAGUUGGGAUUGUGGUGGUAUGAUGCGAGUGGAGGACUCCGGGAGAACCUCCUCCUCUUCUACCUCUUCAUCUGCCCGCCAUUGGUUCAAUACCUGGGUAUUGUUUCGUCAACAGGUUCCAUUUGAGGUCUCACAAUGAGAUCCUCUUCCACGCCACCUUGGAGCCAGGAUUCUACCCUAGCCUUUCGUGAGGUCCUCGGCGUCUCUAUAAAUUUUUCCAUUGGAGAUCGAUGCACUAAAGCUCCAUCUGUGAUCUCCGGUAGCCUCAGUGUCAUGAUAUCGUCAUCGUCUGAUGUUCCCAUGAGUGUCAUUUCAGGUCUCUCCAAUAUGCUAACCUCCUGAGGAGAUUCAGUUCCGAUCGGUGUCGUGUUUUGAAUCGGCCCAGUGGGGACCAUGGGCGUCGGCUGUGAUUCUGGCACAUUCUGGAUCACUGGUGCAAUAUUCUGGAUCACCGGUGCAAUAUUUUGUAUAGCCUGCUCUACGGGUGGGCUCCGGGGAUGAAUUUUUUCUUUAAUCAACUUCUCCGUUUGAUCAAUCACCUGUUGUUUCACAUGUGGUAAUUUAUUCUUGGCCCAUCUGAUUGCCACCGUGUAGGCCUUUUUCCAGUCCGGGGUAAUAAAAUCCACAAUUUCAUUGAGCCAUUCCUCCAGGCAAGCCUGGUAGUGUUGAAAUAGUAUCAAACAUGUGGUAUAGCCCCAAUUUUUUGCGUUUCCCAUGAUGAGGUCCAUUGUUUGGCCUUUGGGGAAUGCCGGGUUAAUCAUCCCCAUUAAUACCUCGACCAUUCUUUCGAUCAUCUUGGGUUGUGGUUUCCCCCCUGUUGGGUCCACAUUCUGUAAGUGGUGUACCACUUUCAGAAUAUUAUACAAUUUUUGGACGAGCCUUUUAAACCUGGGGUCAGCCGGUUGUGGCCCUCUUUCAAAUCCCCCAUUCCUUUGGGGAGGUCUCCUUGGGUCUGGUCCCAUCCAACCACGGCUCACUGCGGCCGCAUAUGAAUAAGGACGGGAAUCCGGUUUACGGAAAGACCAUGGGGGAGGCACUGGCGGGUUAGGAAAUUGAGGCUGAACCCUUCCACCCCGAUGGUCAAAAGCCACCGGCCGACCGCCGGAGCGAAAGGGAGGUGCACUGGCCUUCCACCCCUGGAAUCUCCCUCCACCUUGAUUCCCAACUCCCGUCUGAUAUCCAUUCUGGCCUCGGCGACCAUACCGGGCCACUGUCCAUCCCUCAUCCAUCAUUUUGUUGUAGAUUUACGUAAUUUUUAUUUUUAUGAACUCUUUUUUUGUUUUUUUAUAUUUUUUAUUUUUGUAAUUUUUUUGUUGUUAUAGUAUAUAUUUUUUUGUAAUGUUUUUGUAUAUUUUGUUGUAUUUGUUCAGUUUUUAUUGUUUUUGUAUCCGUUUCUUAGUUUUCUGUCCUUGUCAUAAAGUUACUGAUUUUCCUGUCGCCUUUGCUAUAUAAUUAAUCAAUGUUCUAUUGUCUAGUCUAUAAAUUGUAUGUUCUACAAUGAACUAUCAGGUAUAGUAUUGAUAAUGUAUUGUAAAGAUGCCAAAAAAAUAUUUUUUUCCAAAAAAAAUUUUUUUAAUAAAGAAAUAAAAAAUAAUAAAGAAACUAUCAAACAAAAGUUGUUUUCAUUCAAUUGUACUUGUAUUUAUCCAAUUAUAUGUUUGUGUGUGCCAACAACAACGUUUCGGCUUAUGUCAAGCCUUCUUCAGGUUUUAGCACACAAUUUCUAUGAUCCUACUGUUGUAGCAAGAGCUGUUACUCGUUCAAAAACAAACAUGAAAUGACCGGAUUUGGCUGGUUCCCUAUUUAUAGCCUCUGUCUCAGUGACUCCUCCUUCGUCUUUACCAGCGUAUUUAUUCCAAUGCCCUUCAUUCACCAGUCUUAUUCUUAUGUGCAAUUAGUGUAAAUAGUGUAUAU